UGAAAUACUAUAAGCAACAUGCUGAACAUAGUGCGCCAGCAAAGAAGCAUCACGUGGACCUCCAGGAAAUCGACCAACAUCAUCCUCCUGUAUGUCAGGAACAACAUGUUCCUCCUCCUCGUAAUCGUCAUCAAAGGCCUCAAAUGCCUCCUCCUAAAAAGGACCCUCGUAGGCCUGAUAUGCCUCCUCCUUAAACGCUCGGUCCUCAACGAUAGGGUCAUCCUGAAUAGGAGCUGCCCACCCUCUCCGAGCCGAAGCCGUAGGUCGUCUCCUACCUAAACCCUGUGCAGAACUCUCUC
rnacentral:lncRNA from 1 species